rnacentral:rRNA from 1 species
GCAAGUCGAACGAUGAAACCGCUUCGGUGGUGGAUUAGUGGCGAACGGGUGAGUAACACGUGGGCAAUCUGCCCUUCACUCUGGGACAAGCCCUGGAAACGGGGUCUAAUACCGGAUAACACUCUGUCCCGCAUGGGACGGGGUUGAAAGCUCCGGCGGUGAAGGAUGAGCCCGCGGCCUAUCAGCUUGUUGGUGGGGUAAUGGCCUACCAAGGCGACGACGGGUAGCCGGCCUGAGAGGGCGACCGGCCACACUGGGACUGAGACACGGCCCAGACUCCUACGGGAGGCAGCAGUGGGGAAUAUUGCACAAUGGGCGAAAGCCUGAUGCAGCGACGCCGCGUGAGGGAUGACGGCCUUCGGGUUGUAAACCUCUUUCAGCAGGGAAGAAGCGAAAGUGACGGUACCUGCAGAAGAAGCGCCGGCUAACUACGUGCCAGCAGCC